UAAAAUUUUGGUUUCAUCAAAUUCCCCCAUGUCUCUCUAAACACUCUCUUUCCGAUUCUCUUAGCCUAUCUCUUACAUUCCUAGUUCUUUCAGGCACUUCAUAUUAUAUCCCUUAUACAAAAAAAAAAUUAGAAGUUGUUGCUGCACAUACAACUCUAGUUGCUUCUCCUCUCAUAGCCUUCCUUCAGAUGAACAUACACACAGACCUGCUAGAAAAAGGAUCUUAAUCACCCAAAGAACAGUACAACAUGGCUAUCUUAAAAAGUUAUCAUGCAAACAAGAAAUAGAUUUUGGAACUCUAUAGAAUCUUUCAAAUGAAGAUAUAUGCACAGCUCAAAAAACACCUUUACUACCUGCAAGUUUCCGUUGAGAAAGUUGUAAACUCCUAGUAGAAGGACACUACUUACAAAUUUGGUCUCAUCAAAAUUGGCAUAUGCUCUUGCCAUUCAGCGGUGAAGGAGAUACACUAUUGAGACUAGAAGAUGUCAUGAACAGUGAAGAACAAAUUAACACAGAGCCAGGAUCACCGGUUUCUAUCGACAGUACUCAUCGGGACUUUUAGCAAGUGAUGAGUUUUCAACAAAAGAUACAAAGUGAUAAGUAUGAACAAAUUUAAGGGUCAUUUAUGAAAUUAUAGUUGUCGUAUAGAAUUAUCAUUUUCUACUUUUACAGAUGUGUCAUCAUUCUAUAGGGUGUGCAUUCGUUUUUUACUUUAUGUAAUUUCACGUUUUGUCGAUCGAAUAUUUUGUAAUUGUAAAUCUUACGCUACCCUUUGCCUAUAUAAAGGGUUGCAGACUAUUGUAAAAUGCAUCGAAUAUCCAUAAUAAAAUUUUGGUUUUAUCAAA